GGGGGGGGGUGUGGGGCCAUAGUUUUGCAUGAAGCUUCCCCCACCUCUGCUUCCCAUUCAGGGCAUAAACGUUCUGCUCUUCAAGUACGGCCGCUACAGGCUGUUUUCUAUGCUAUAAAGAUAUGCAAAUGUAGUUGUUAAGGUUAAAAAAAAAGUGGAGCAUUUUUUUAUUAGUGUUCCAGGAGGUAACUGUUCAUUAUGCCAAAGAGCUGCUGGACUUUCUGCAGUUUUUUCCUUCUUCUUUUGUUUUGUUUUGUUGUGUUUUGUUUAAGGUAUCAGGUGGAAGAGCAAACUGAAGAUGAGCGGGCCGGGUACAGGCAUCGCAAAUGAACACCACUUCCACAGUCAUGUCUGUGGUUACGAACGGGAAAGAGCGGAAUUAGGAUGUGAGACCGGACCUGUAUUGCUGGAAAUGGGUGUAUUGUAUUUGGAUUAUGGAGAGUGAAGUCAAGAGCCAAUCGUGCAGAGUCGAAUUAAUGAAAAAUGUUUAUUUGCUGAUAGUCUGAGAUAAUCCUAGUGAAAGAUACAGGUGAUUUACACUGAUAAUCUGGGGUAAUCCUAGUGAAAGAUACAUGUGACUUAAACUGAUAAUGCGAGGUAAUACUCGUGAAAGAUACAGGUGACUAACAAUGAUAAUCUGGAAUAAUCCUAGUGAAAGAUACAAGUGACCUAAACUGAUAAUGCAAGGUAAUACUCGUGAGAGAUACAGGUGACUAACACUGAUAAUCUGGGAUAAUCCAACUGAAAGAUACAGGUGAUUUACACAGAUAGUCUGGGAUAAUAGCAGCAAAAGAUACAGGAGACUUACACUGUGAAAUGAUUAUUCAGUAGAGUUGUAAUUCAUCAACACAUCAUAUUAUACACAUAAAUCUUCUGACCACUUACCCAGUACAAGGUCUCACUGGGGAUCUGGAGCCAAUCCAAGGCAGCAUAGGACACAAGCCAAGGGUGCACCCUGGACAGGGUACCAGUCCAUCACAGGACACAAAGAGCAUGAGAAAUUCAUGGACACCCAACUGCGUGCUUUCAGGCAGAGGAAGGAAAUCCACGCAACCCAGAGAGAACGGGUGAAGUGCUCAGACACAGAGCGGGGGUGGGAUUUGAACGCACAACCCCGGAGGUGUGAAGCAGAAGUGAUAGUCACUGUGCAGCCUCACCGUGCAGCACAUCCAUCACAAAAAAGCAUUAUUAUAUUUGGGCUGUGAAAUUUUAAGGAAAUUGCCUUUCUACAGCACAUUCCGCAGUAGUAGAAUCGCUAGCACUAGGAAUUGAAGAAUUCCAGUGUCAUUUUUGGUCUUAUCCCUCACUGUGCCUUUGUAGAGUCUCGCCUGGGCUCAUGCUGCCAGAGAGGGAUUGGGAAGAUGGAAAGAGUCCAGCCCCCCCCCAGCCCAGUCUCAACAGCAUGGAUCAGCAGCUCUUUCCUGGACACGACGGUGCCCCCUGCAUCCCUACACAGCCUAAGAAGGUCCGAGUGGGUAAAAGCCUCCUUUCAGUUUACUCAUGCCCAUGAGAGGCAUUUUACGCCUGGCUGUAAGCGGUGCUGCCUGCAUGACGUGGGUCCCCGAGAAAACCGGGAACCAGUUACAGAGGCGGCGAUUCAAAGCUGCAGCGUGAAGGGAAGCGGGAGGAACCGGGAGAGAGGAGGCAAGGCGCCUGGCCAGGCCAUAAAGACAGCGUGUUGUGUGAAACACAGCCCUCACUAUGACUGAGCUCACAGUCACUGAUAUGCUUCAUGAUGUCAUGUCACAGUACAGUACCUCACUGACAGCUCGAGCUCACAGUUGAAUGUGUCAAAUUAAAGUGACGAACAGCUGAACUGACCAGGCGCUGCCCGGGUAUCUCUGAGGCAGAGCACAGGCCACAACAGAAAUAAAAAGUUUGACUCUGUUAGCAGCUCGUAAAGUCUGGCAGCCCCGACCAAUCAAACCCGCACUCCUUUGGACAGUGCAAUGCCUGUAGCUGUACUUGUGAUACUUAUAGGGCAUGUGCAUACCUUCCCGGGCACAAAGACCCAGCACAGCUAAGCAAACAGAUAAAAAAGAAAGACGUGAGGGAAAAUAAUGGUGAAAGGUUGAUGCGCAGAGAGCACAGCGACCCCGAGACUUCCACUGUCUCCCCAUGUGGAAAGCGUGGCUCAGGUACUUUCCAGGAAUAAUAUGGCACAUCACAUACUGAUAACCAGGAAGCUGGAAGAUAAGGCAAUGGGGGAAGGCUGUGAACCAAAUAUGCAUGCACCCACAUUAUUAUAAUUAUUAAUAACAUAAUAUUACUACUACUACUACUACUACUACUAAUAAGGUUUUCUUGAGUUUGAUUUAUAUUGCUAUUACGCAGUAUAUAACUGCAUUCAGGUGAUGAUGUUUAUUCUUUAAUUUUUUCCAUCCUUGGCAUUGUAUCUAAAGUGCAAUAAAACUCAAGAUCUACAAAAC